UACCCCGCUGGAAACUUAAGCAUAUCAAUAAGCGGAGGAAAAGAAACCAACAGGGAUUGCCCUAGUAACGGCGAGUGAAGCGGCAACAGCUCAAAUUUGAAAUCUGGCUCUUUCAGAGUCCGAGUUGUAAUUUGCAGAGGGCGCUUUGGCGUCGGCAGCGGUCCAAGUUCUUUGGAACAGGACGUCACAGAGGGUGAGAAUCCCGUACGUGGUCGCUAGCCUUCGCCGUGUAAAGCCCCUUCGACGAGUCGAGUUGUUUGGGAAUGCAGCUCUAAAUGGGAGGUAAAUUUCUUCUAAAGCUAAAUACUGGCCAGAGACCGAUAGCGCACAAGUAGAGUGAUCGAAAGAUGAAAAGCACUUUGGAAAGAGAGUCAAAUAGCACGUGAAAUUGUUGAAAGGGAAGCGCUUGCAGCCAGACUUACCUGUAGUUGCUUAUCUGGACUUUUGUCCAGUGCACUCUUCUACGGGUAGGCCAGCAUCAGUUUGGGCGGUUGGAUAAAGGUCUCUGUCACGUACCUCCCUUCGGGGUGGCCUUAUAGGGGAGACGUCAUGCAACCAGCCUGGACUGAGGUCCGCGCAUCUGCUAGGAUGCUGGCGUAAUGGCUGUAAGCGGCCCGUCUUGAAACACGGACCAAGGAGUCUAACAUCUAUGCGAGUGUUUGGGUGUCAAGCCCAGACGCGUAAUGAAAGUGAACGGAGGUGGGAACCCUUUGGGUGCACCAUCGACCGAUCCUGAUGUCUUCGGAUGGAUUUGAGUAAGAGCAUGGCUGUUGGGACCCGAAAGAUGGUGAACUAUGCUUGAAUAGGGUGAAGCCAGAGGAAACUCUGGUGGAGGCUCGCAGCGGUUCUGACGUGCAAAUCGAUCGUCAAAUUUGGGCAUAGGGGCGAAAGACUAAUCGAACUAUCUAGUAGCUGGUUCCUGCCGAAGUUCUCCCCCUCAGGAAA
rnacentral:rRNA from 1 species